GGUCUUGGAGGCCAGCCUCCUCUCCAGCUUUUCCUGCUUUCUCUUGGAGAUCCUCCAGUGACCUAGCCUGUUUCUUUUUCCCUCACAGAUCUGGAUUAUUCUUUUGCUGUGUUGCCUCAUGGAGUCUCAAGGAAGCAAGAAUGGGGGAUACAGAAGAUUUGGGGACAGUAUAACAUGACAGGAUACCAAGAUGAGAAAACUAAGGCUCCAAGAGGAUGGUUGACUUUUCCUAUGGCUACACAGCUAAAACUUCCUGCUGAAGAAGGAACCCUGAAAGAAAGUCUACAUAUGUUCUGCAAGACUUCCAGGGAGGUUUUCCUCCAAGAUUAAUAGAACUAUGAUGGCUUUAAUUGGUUGUUCAAUAUUUUAAUUUUCUAUUCAUUUCCCACCUGAAAAUCCUUUUCAUUUUGGGGAAAAUGAUCUCUUCAGGCCAUGAUUUCUUAAAAAAAAAAAUCAUUACAUUGAGUGAAGAAAUGGUCAGCCUUUAUAUUUUUUAGCAUCUUGAUUUAUUUCAUAAGGAGCUCUCUGAGAUAGUGCCUAAUACCUAAUUUAUUUCUAAAUCAAAAAAAGAAGAGCUCAUUUUGUAUUGAGUAUAUACAAAAUGGUUUCCAGCUGAUACAUUACCCAAAUAAAAGUGUGAUAUGCUGCAAAGAGUCCAGUAUUUGGAGUUGGAGGUCCUGGGUUCAAAUCCAGAUUAGCAUUUAUUAUCUGUCUGAUUUUGGCUAGUAGUCACUUAAUCUUUGAGGGGGGGGGUCCCAGUUUUUUCAAAAAGGAGAGAGUGGAAU